AGUGUGCUCCUCUUACUUAUAAAAAAAAUAGUGAACUGUAAAACAGCCUCAGGCAUGUCCUUCAGGAGGAUUCCAGAAUAAGGCAUUGUUAUCAUAGGAGAUGACAGUUCCAUGCAUGUUAUUGCCCCUGAAGACUUUCCAGUGGGACAAGAUGUGGAGAUGAAGACAGUGAUACUGAUGGUCCUGACCCUGUGUAGGCCUUGGGUCUGCAUGCUUCUCAAAUUGAGCUGUAACACUCACUGCUGCGGUCCAAGCCUUCAUUCUUUGAAGCCCGUGGAACCACAAACUCUUCAAUUGAUAAAAACCUUCGAUCGGAAGAGACUUCUCAUCUCAUUUCUGGGGGCCUGUCCGGGAUUUCUCUGAAGUGAAUAGAAUCCAUGAAACUGCAAGUGGUUCUACAAAUGGAGCCCCAAAUGACCACCACUAGCACCUACUAUCGAGGACCCCUAGACUGACCUACCAACCUGUUCUAACACCACGACACUGAAGAAGACUCCCCUCCUGAGGAACCCUCAACUGCAGAUCCCCUUCUGUGCCCCAGUUCAGCAGGAAGUAGCUAGAAUGAUCAUUGCCCAACUUCUCAACAGCACUUGGGCUUUCCUGUUGAGAGGGGGUACUGAGGCACUAAGUGGCUAAGUUAGCUAGACUUCCUGGGUCAACAGGGACUUCCCUAAGGGGACAUUCCUCUAAGCCAAAAUGAGUCAUAGCUGCAAGCUAAGGGAUUGAAACUUCAACCAAUCAAAGGGGACUUUCUCCUAAGCAAAAAUGAGUCACUGCUGCAAACUAAGUGAUUGAAACUUCACCCAAUCAUAUAGGGAGUUUAAGCUUUAGCUGCAGCCUGAUGUUUUUAACCAAUCAGGCCUGCCAACCCACAAGCAGAUAGAAAAUAAGCUAAUCCUAUGGGACAGAAAAAGGAAAAGGGGAGGAGUCAUAAGAGGAUAUAAGCAUAAGACACCCAAGCCAGAAACGGAAACCCUUCCGGGUCUCCUUCCACCACGUGGAAGCUUUACUUUUGCUUUUACUUUACUUUCACUUUAAUAAACCUUGGCGCUGCACACUC